rnacentral:rRNA from 1 species
UCCUACGGGGAAGCAGCAGUGGGGAAUAUUGCACAAUGGGCGCAAGCCUGAUGCAGCGACGCCGCGUGAGGGAUGACGGCCUUCGGGUUGUAAACCUCUUUCAGUACCGACGAAGCGCAAGUGACGGUAGGUACAGAAGAAGCACCGGCCAACUACGUGCCAGCAGCCGCGGUAAUACGUAGGGUGCGAGCGUUGUCCGGAAUUACUGGGCGUAAAGAGCUCGUAGGCGGUUUGUCGCGUCGUCUGUGAAAACCCGCAGCUCAACUGCGGGCUUGCAGGCGAUACGGGCAGACUUGAGUACUGCAGGGGAGACUGGAAUUCCUGGUGUAGCGGUGAAAUGCGCAGAUAUCAGGAGGAACACCGGUGGCGAAGGCGGGUCUCUGGGCAGUAACUGACGCUGAGGAGCGAAAGCGUGGGUAGCGAACAGGAUUAGAUACCCUGGUAGUCCACGCCGUAAACGGUGGGCGCUAGGUGUGGGUUUCCUUCCACGGGAUCCGUGCCGUAGCUAACGCAUAAGCGCCCCGCCUGGAGUACCCCCCA